UGGGGAAUAUUGCGCAAUGGGGGCAACCCUGACGCAGCAACGCCGCGUGCAGGAAGAAGGUCUUCGGAUUGUAAACUGUUGUCGCAAGGGAAGAAGACAGUGACGGUACCUUGUGAGAAAGUCACGGCUAACUACGUGCCAGCAGCCGCGGUAAUACGUAGGUGACAAGCGUUGUCCGGAUUUACUGGGUGUAAAGGGCGCGUAGGCGGACUGUCAAGUCAGUCGUGAAAUACCGGGGCUUAACCCCGGGGCUGCGAUUGAAACUGACAGCCUUGAGUAUCGGAGAGGAAAGCGGAAUUCCUAGUGUAGCGGUGAAAUGCGUAGAUAUUAGGAGGAACACCAGUGGCGAAGGCGGCUUUCUGGACGACAACUGACGCUGAGGCGCGAAAGUGUGGGGAGCAAACAGGAUUAGAUACCCUGGUAGUCCACACCGUAAACGAUGGAUACUAGGUGUAGGAGGUAUCGACCCCUUCUGUGCCGCAGUUAACACAAUAAGUAUCCCACCUGGGGAGUACGACCGCAAGGUUGAAACUCAAAGGAAUUGACGGGGGCCCACACAAGCAGUGGAGUAUGUGGUUUAAUUCGAAGCAACGCGAAGAACCUUACCUGGGCUUGACAUCCCUGGAAUCGAGUAGAGAUACUUGAGUGCCUUCGGGAAUCAGGUGACAGGUGGUGCAUGGUUGUCGUCAGCUCGUGUCGUGAGAUGUUGGGUUAAGUCCCGCAACGAGCGCAACCCCUAUUGUCAGUUGCCAUCAUUAAGUUGGGCACUCUGGCGAGACUGCCGGUGACAAAUCGGAGGAAGGUGGGGACGACGUCAAAUCAUCAUGCCCCUUAUGCCCAGGGCUACACACGUACUACAAUGGCCGAUAACAAAGUGCAGCGAAACCGUGAGGUGGAGCGAAUCACAAAACUCGGUCUCAGUUCAGAUUGCAGGCUGCAACUCGCCUGCAUGAAGUUGGAAUUGCUAGUAAUCGUGGAUCAGAAUGCCGCGGUGAAUACGUUCCC
rnacentral:rRNA from 1 species